UGAAUAGACUCCCCUCCUGAGACUGAGUGAAGCAUAUUUCAAGCAUCACAUUCGAGUCUCCACUCAUGCAUUCCAUUUUGUACCACUGCAAAGAGCAUGAGCCAUUUCAGAGGUGCUUUCAAAAAAGCGUGUGUGUUAUUUUGACAGCGGCCUUACGGAGAUGAAGGUAUUUAUACCUGCCCCAUUACAGUGAAAAGCAUGAGAAUUAAUGCUUUCAGUCAAUUUCAUUUUCUUGGAAAGUUAAUGGUGUUGCUUCAUUUGGAAACAAACAGUGCAAUGGGGCGUGUGUGAUGCGAUUGCCCAGACGCUGGACUCUUAGAAUACAAGCGCUGAGCUCCUCUAGUGACAAUAAAAUAGACACAUUUGAGAACUGUGACUCUUGUACUUAUUUUGCAAUUCGAUUCAAUAAUUUUUAAUUUCAUUAAUUCAGUUGCUUUCCAUUCCACUUAAUUUACACAACCAAUAUUUUGAAUCAGAAAGCUUACUAAGAAAACAUUUAGUAAAACUAUAAUUUUAAAAGAUCAUUAAAAAACAAUUAAUUAUAAUUGUAAAAACUGAGAAUGUUUCAUGUUGAGUAUAGCAUAGUGUGAAAAAGAAAAUAUUCCAGCUCAGUUUGUUUCUGUAAGGGCCCCCUCCACACAACACACCACACACACACACACACACACACACACACACACACACCCAGCUCUGUUCCAGUACAGUACUCAUCAUGAAGCUCAUACCUUCCUUCCUUCCUUCUUCAGCCUGCUUGCAGAAGAAGUCCAAAGAGACUUUGCUACUGGUUGUGAGUUCUGCUUUUCCAGACCAAAGCAACUCAUCUCACAAAUCAACUACCAUCCUACUUUGUAUUAAUUAAGUGUAAGAAAAAUUGAAACCAAAAUAGUUAUUAGAACAGAAGCAUUUAUUGGACACAGGUAUCUGCAAUCCCUCCCCUACCCUACCACCAGAAUGACAUUUCAACAGCCCCAAUCUCAUCCUGUUACUUCUCUUCUUAAAGUUCUUCAGGCCUGAAAGAGGAGGCACAGUCCAGUAAUUGGAGCUUGGGACCUGGAACCACACUGCUGAAGUUCAGGACCUGCCUCUGACUCUUGAGAGCUGGGUGACCUUGAGCAAGCUAGCGAACUUCGUCUGCAGAAUGACGGUAAACAAUAACAGUGUCUGCUUCAAAUGACUAAAGGAUCCCUUGGCAUAUGGCAAAGCCAUAUGAUCUGCUCUCUUAUGAGAAUGGCAGGACCGGGUCCUGGGCUGGUUAUUUAAGUAUGUCUUUCAUCACUAGGCUUCUCCAAAUAGAAAAUAGUACUUUUCUAUUUGAAGAAUGAGAUUUGGCAGGGUCUCCUCAAUAACAGAAGCCAAGUUUUUCCCUACUUUAUCUUUCUGAGCUCAGUGGAGUCCGUAUUCUUUGUCAUGUGCUGAAAUUUCUCAGCAAUCUACCUGAGACAUAUUUUUACAAACUUAACACACUACUCUGUCUAUCAGAUUAGUCCCCUAACUCUAUUUCUCACUUCCACUGUAUAAUCAUGAGGGAUUUGAUUUAGGUCAUACCUGAAUGGUCUAGUGGUUUCCCCUACUUUCUUCAAUUUAAGUCUGAAUUUGGCAAUAAGGAGUUCGUGGUCUGAGCCACAGUCAGCUCCUAGUCUUGUUUUUGCUGACUGUAUAGAGCUUCUCCAUCUUUGGCUGCAAAGAAUAUAAUCAGUCUCAUUUCGGUGUUGACCAUCUGGUGAUGUCCAUGUGUAGAGUCUUCUCUUGUGUUGUUGGAAGAGGGUGUUUGCUAUGACCAGUGCGUUCUCUUGGCAAAACUCUAUUAGACUUUGCCCUGCUUCAUUCCAUAUUCCAAGGCCAAAUUUGCCUGUUACUCC
rnacentral:lncRNA from 1 species